rnacentral:rRNA from 1 species
UCCGGUGACAACAGCGGGGAGGGCACACCUGUUCCCAUCUCGAACACAGCAGUUAAGCUCCCCAGCGCUGAUGAUACUUGGCGGGCAGCCGCCUGGGAAAGUAGGACGUUGCCGGUU